GCCCAGCUGUGGCUGGCAGCUGGGCUGUACGGGGAGCUCAUGUCUUUGCCCAAACCCAUACCCGACUGCUGCUGCUGCGAUGGCGGGUUGCUGUAAUCUUGAUAGCCGCCACCGUAUCCCCGCAUCAUCGGACUCGGGGAUGUCAGGAGCUGGUUCAGGGAUUGCUAUCCUUUCUACAGUCUUCAGGAAUAUUUUUCACAAUUCUGAUUUCUUAAACUAUCUACCCAUCUCAGAUAGCAGCAGAUCCAUGUCGGAUUUUCCUAAGCGCCGCGGAAUUGGUCUGAA
rnacentral:lncRNA from 1 species